CACACAGUAAACGAUAAUCACUAGGUGUCGGGUUCUUAUAAUGGAUUCGGUGCCGUAGCUAACGCGUUAAGUGAUUCGCCUGGGGAGUACGAUCGCAAGGUUGAAACUCAAAGGAAUUGACGGGGGCCCGCACAAGCGGUGGAGCAUGUGGUUUAAUUCGAGGCAACGCGAAGAACCUUACCCGGGCUUGACAUCCACAGUCGGCUCCAGAGAUGGAGCUUUGCCGGUUUACCGGAACUGUGAGACAGGUGC
rnacentral:rRNA from 1 species